rnacentral:rRNA from 1 species
UGGUGGGUAGUUUGACUGGGGCGGUCUCCUCCUAAAGAGUAACGGAGGAGCACGAAGGUUGGCUAAUCCUGGUCGGACAUCAGGAGGUUAGUGCAAUGGCAUAAGCCAGCUUGACUGCGAGCGUGACGGCGCGAGCAGGUGCGAAAGCAGGUCAUAGUGAUCCGGUGGUUCUGAAUGGAAGGGCCAUCGCUCAACGGAUAAAAGGUACUCCGGGGAUAACAGGCUGAUACCGCCCAAGAGUUCAUAUCGACGGCGGUGUUUGGCACCUCGAUGUCGGCUCAUCACAUCCUGGGGCUGAAGUAGGUCCCAAGGGUAUGGCUGUUCGCCAUUUAAAGUGGUACGCGAGCUGGGUUUAGAACGUCGUGAGACAGUUCGGUCCCUAUCUGCCGUGGGCGCUGGAGAACUGAGGGGGGCUGCUCCUAGUACGAGAGGACCGGAGUGGACGCAUCACUGGUGUUCGGGUUGUCAUGCCAAUGGCACUGCCCGGUAGCUAAAUGCGGAAGAGAUAAGUGCUGAAAGCAUCUAAGCACGAAACUUGCCCCGAGAUGAGUUCUCCCUGACUCCCUGAGAGUCCUGAAGGAACGUUGAAGACGACGACGUUGAUAGGCCGGGUGUGUAAGCGCAGCGAUGCGUUGAGCUAACCGG